AAUCAACGCUGGCGGCGUGCCUCAGACAUGCAAGUCGAACGCGAAAUUUCCCUUCGGGGAGAAAGUAGAGUGGCGCACGGGUGAGUAACACGUAGGUAAUUUGCCUUUGGGUGGGGAAUAACUCAGGGAAACUUGAGCUAAUACCGCAUAAUGCAGCGGCUCGACAUCGAGACAGUUGUUAAAGCGGGGGAUCGCAAGACCUCGCGCCUAAAGAGAAGCCUGCGGCAGAUUAGCUAGUUGGUAGGGUAAUGGCCUACCAAGGCAACGAUCUGUAACCGGCCUGAGAGGGCGGUCGGUCACACUGACACUGACAUACGGGGUCAGACUCCUACGGGAGGCAGCAGUCGGGAAUUUUGGGCAAUGGGCGAAAGCCUAACCCAGCAACGCCGCGUGAAGGAUGAAAUCCCUCGGGAUGUAAACUUCGCAAGAAUAGGAAGAAUAAGGAGGGGUUAAUAACCCUUUUGAUGACGGUACUAUUUGUAAGCUCCGGCUAACUCCGUGCCAGCAGCCGCA
rnacentral:rRNA from 1 species